rnacentral:rRNA from 1 species
GAUGAACGCUGGCGGCGUGCUUAACACAUGCAAGUCGAACGAAGCCAAAAGGAAGCUUGCUUUCUUUGAAGCUUAGUGGCGGACGGGUGAGUAACGCGUGAGGAACCUGCCCUUCAGUGGGGAAUAACAGCCGGAAACGACUGCUAAUACCGCAUAAUGUCAUCGGACCGCAUGAUCUGGUGACCAAAGGAUUUAUUCGCUGAAGGAUGGCCUCGCGUCCGAUUAGGCAGUUGGUGAGGUAACGGCCCACCAAACCUACGAUCGGUAGCCGAACUGAGAGGUUGAUCGGCCACAUUGGGACUGAGACACGGCCCAGACUCCUACGGGAGGCAGCAGUGGGGAAUAUUGGGCAAUGGGCGAAAGCCUGACCCAGCAACGCCGCGUGAAGGAAGACGGUCUUCGGAUUGUAAACUUCUUUGAUUGGGGAAGAACACAAUGA